rnacentral:rRNA from 1 species
CGCGUAGGCGGGAUGGCAAGUCGGUCGUGAAAUCCUUCGGCUCAACCGAAGAACGCCGGCCGAUACUGCCGUUCUUGAGGGAUGCAGAGGAGACUGGAAUUCCCGGUGUAGCGGUGAAAUGUGUAGAGAUCGGGAGGAACACCGGUGGCGAAGGCGGGUCUCUGGGCAUCUCCUGACGCUGAGGCGCGAAAGCGUGGGGAGCAAACGGGAUUAGAUACCCCGGUAGUCCACGCCAUAAACGAUGACGACUAGGUGUGGGGUGGUUCAGUCCACUCCGUGCCGCAGCUAACGCAUUAAGUCGUCCGCCUGGGGAGUACGGCCGCAAGGUUGAA